rnacentral:rRNA from 1 species
CCUACGGGUGGCAGCAGUGAGGAAUAUUGGUCAAUGGGCGCGAGCCUGAACCAGCCAAGUAGCGUGAAGGAUUACUGCCCUACGGGUUGUAAACUUCUUUUAUAAAGGCAUAAAGUGAGGCACGUGUGCCUUCUUGUAUGCACUUUAUGAAUAAGGAUCGGCGAACUCCGUGCCAGCAGCCGCGGUAAUACGGCGGAUCCGAGCGUUAUCCGGAUUUAUUGGGUUUAAAGGGGGCGUAGAUGGGUUGUUAAGUCAGUUGUGAAAGUUUGCGGCUCAACCGUAAAAUUGCAAUUGAUACUGGCAGCCUUGAGUACAGGUGAGGUAGGCGGAAUUCGUGGUGUAGCGGUGAAAUGCUUAGAUAUCACGAAGAACUCCGAUUGCGAAGGCAGCCUACUAAACUGCCACUGACAUUGAUGCGCGAAAGUGUGGGUAUCAAACAGGAUUAGAUACCCCUGUAGUC